UACGAAGGGGGCUAGCGUUGCUCGGAAUCACUGGGCGUAAAGGGUGCGUAGGCGGGUCUUAAGUCAGGGGUGAAAUCCUGGAGCUCAACUCCAGAACUGCCUUUGAUACUGAGGAUCUUGAGUUCGGGAGAGGUGAGUGGAACUGCGAGUAUAGAGGUGAAAUUCGUAGAUAUUCGCAAGAACACCAGUGGCGAAGGCGGCUCACUGGCCCGAUACUGACGCUGAUGCACGAAAGCGUGGGGAGCAAACAGG
rnacentral:rRNA from 1 species